rnacentral:rRNA from 1 species
AUUGAACGCUGGCGGCAGGCCUAACACAUGCAAGUCGAACGGUAGCACAGAGAGCUUGCUCUCGGGUGACGAGCGGCGGACGGGUGAGUAAUGUCUGGGAAACUGCCUGAUGGAGGGGGAUAACUACUGGAAACGGUAGCUAAUACCGCAUAACGUCUUCGGACCAAAGUGGGGGACCUUCGGGCCUCACACCAUCGGAUGUGCCCAGAUGGGAUUAGCUAGUAGGUGGGGUAAUGGCUCACCUAGGCGACGAUCCCUAGCUGGUCUGAGAGGAUGACCAGCCACACUGGAACUGAGACACGGUCCAGACUCCUACGGGAGGCAGCAGUGGGGAAUAUUGCACAAUGGGCGCAAGCCUGAUGCAGCCAUGCCGCGUGUAUGAAGAAGGCCUUCGGGUUGUAAAGUACUUUCAGCGGGGAGGAAGGCGGUGAAGUUAAUAGCUUCAUCGAUUGACGUUACCCGCAGAAGAAGCACCGGCUAACUCCGUGCCAGCCGCCGCCGUAA